GAUGAAGAACGUAGCGAAAUGCGAUAAGUAAUGUGAAUUGCAGAAUUCAGUGAAUCAUCGAAUCUUUGAACGCACAUUGCGCCCGCUAGUAUUCUGGCGGGCAUGCCUGUUCGAGCGUCAUUUCAACCAUCAAGCCCUGCUUGUGUUGGGGUCCUGCGGCUGCCCGCAGGCCCUGAAAACCAGUGGCGGGCUCGCUAGUCACACCGAGCGCAGUAGCACAUCUCGCUCAGGGCGUGCGGCGGGUUCUUGCCGUAAAACACCCCCUUUUUACCAAGGUUGACCUCGGAUCAGGUAGGAAUACCCGCUGAACUUAAGCAUAUCAAUAAGCGAGGA
rnacentral:misc_RNA from 1 species